rnacentral:rRNA from 1 species
GACGAACGCUGGCGGCGCGCCUAACACAUGCAAGUCGAACGGAGCUGCGAGAAGCUUGCUUUUCUUAGCUUAGUGGCGAACGGGUGAGUAACGCGUGAGUAACCUGCCCUGGAGUGGGGGACAACAGUUGGAAACGACUGCUAAUACCGCAUAAGCCCACGAUCCGGCAUCGGAUUGAGGGAAAAGGAUUUAUUCGCUUCAGGAUGGACUCUCGUCCAAUUAGCUAGUUGGUGAGGUAACGGCCCACCAAGGCGACGAUUGGUAGCCGGACUGAGAGGUUGAACGGCCACAUUGGGACUGAGACACGGCCCAGACUCCUACGGGAGGCAGCAGUGGGGGAUAUUGAACAAUGGGGGAAACACUGAUGCAGCGACGCCGCGUGGAGGAAGAAGGUGUUCGGAUUGUAAACUCCUGUCGUUAGGGACGAUAAUGACGGUACCUAACAAGAAAGCACCGGCUAACUACGUG